AACCUUAUGGACCUGCGGGCGUAUACCUGCGGAAGGAUCAUUACUGAGUGAGGGCCUUCGGGCUCGACCUCCAACCCUUUGUGAACACAACUUGUUGCUUCGGGGGCGACCCUGCCGUUUCGACGGCGAGCGCCCCCGGAGGCCUUCAAACACUGCAUCUUUGCGUCGGAGUUUAAGUAAAUUAAACAAAACUUUUAGCAAUGGAUCU
rnacentral:misc_RNA from 1 species